AGUGAACGCUGGCGGUAGGCCUAACACAUGCAAGUCGAACGGCAGCACAGUAAGAGCUUGCUCUUACGGGUGGCGAGUGGCGGACGGGUGAGGAAUACAUCGGAAUCUACUUUUUCGUGGGGGAUAACGUAGGGAAACUUACGCUAAUACCGCAUACGACCUACGGGUGAAAGCAGGGGAUCUUCUGACCUUGCGCGAUUGAAUGAGCCGAUGUCGGAUUAGCUAGUUGGCGGGGUAGAGGCCCACCAAGGCGACGAUCCGUAGCUGGUCUGAGAGGAUGAUCAGCCACACUGGAACUGAGACACGGUCCAGACUACUACGGGAGGCAGCAGUGGGGAAUAUUGGACAAUGGGCGCAAGCCUGAUCCAGCCAUACCGCGUGGGUGAAGAAGGCCUUCGGGUUGUAAAGCCCUUUUGUUGGGAAAGAAAAGCAGCAGGUUAAUACCCCGCUGUUCUGACGGUACCCAAAGAAUAAGCACCGGCUAACUUCGUG
rnacentral:rRNA from 1 species